CUACUUCCCUAUGUUGCUUGUA
rnacentral:siRNA from 1 species